UUUGUAUUACGUGCGGAAAUUGUUACCAUUUUUGAACCGAAAAUGGUAACAAUUUCCGCACGUAAUACAAA
rnacentral:miRNA from 1 species